AGUCAUCAACUGCACCCGUUUUGUGCGCGGGGGUCAGUUGGAUCUGGUGGUGUGCUGCCGUGAGGCUGCUCCCCUCAAAUGCAUCGGUUGGGCCUGUGGGUCAAACUCGACUGGGCGUUGUACCAUCCUCGCUCUACUUGAGAUGUACCCCCUUCUGUGUCCUCCCAAGACUGGCCUCUGGAGUGGCAGUCAAACUUAUACUUUGAA
rnacentral:misc_RNA from 1 species